rnacentral:rRNA from 1 species
AGCGAACGCUGGCGGCAGGCCUAACACAUGCAAGUCGAACGAACUCUUCGGAGUUAGUGGCGGACGGGUGAGUAACACGUGGGAACGUGCCUUUAGGUUCGGAAUAACUCAGGGAAACUUGUGCUAAUACCGAAUGUGCCCUUCGGGGGAAAGAUUUAUCGCCUUUAGAGCGGCCCGCGUCUGAUUAGCUAGUUGGUGAGGUAAAGGCUCACCAAGGCGACGAUCAGUAGCUGGUCUGAGAGGAUGAUCAGCCACAUUGGGACUGAGACACGGACCAAACUCCUACGGGAGGCAGCAGUGGGGAAUUUUGCGCAAUGGGCGAAAGCCUGACGCAGCCAUGCCGCGUGAAUGAUGAAGGUCUUAGGAUUGUAAAAUUCUUUCACCGGGGACGAUAAUGACGGUACCCGGAGAAGAAGCCCCGGCUAACUUCGUGACAGCAGCCGCCGUAA